rnacentral:snRNA from 1 species
UUUGCCAUUGUGCGGUCUAG